rnacentral:rRNA from 1 species
GAUGAACGCUGGCGGCAUGCCUAAUACAUGCAAGUCGAACGAGAGGAAGGAAAGCUUGCUUUCCUGAAUCUAGUGGCGAACGGGUGAGUAACACGUAGGUAACCUGCCCAUGUGCCCGGGAUAACUUCUGGAAACGGAUGCUAAAACCGGAUAGGUAGCAGACAAGCAUUUGACUGCUAUUAAAGUGGCCUUGGCCAUGAACAUGGAUGGACCUGCGGUGCAUUAGCUAGUUGGUGAGGUAACGGCCCACCAAGGCGACGAUGCAUAGCCGGCCUGAGAGGGCGGACGGCCACAUUGGGACUGAGACACGGCCCAAACUCCUACGGGAGGCAGCAGUAGGGAAUUUUCGUCAAUGGGGGGAACCCUGAAUGAGCAAUGCCGCGUGAGUGAGGAAGGUCUUCGGAUCGUAAAGCUCUGUUGUAAGAGAAAAACGGCACUCAUAGGGAAUGAUGAGUGAGUGAUGGUAUCUUACCAGAAGGUCACGGCUAACUACGUGCCAGCCGCCGCCGUAA